rnacentral:rRNA from 1 species
GCGACGACGGGUAGCCGGCCUGAGAGGGUGGACGGCCACACUGGGACUGAGACACGGCCCAGACUCCUACGGGAGGCAGCAGUGGGGAAUAUUGCACAAUGGGCGCAAGCCUGAUGCAGCGACGCCGCGUGAGGGAUGAAGGCCUUCGGGUUGUAAACCUCUUUCAGUAGGGAAGAAGCGAAAGUGACGGUACCUGCAGAAGAAGCGCCGGCUAACUACGUGCCAGCAGCCGCGGUAAUACGUAGGGCGCAAGCGUUAUCCGGAAUUAUUGGGCGUAAAGAGCUCGUAGGCGGUUUGUCGCGUCUGCCGUGAAAGUCCGGGGCUUAACUCCGGAUCUGCGGUGGGUACGGGCAGACUUGAGUGAUGUAGGGGAGACUGGAAUUCCUGGUGUAGCGGUGAAAUGCGCAGAUAUCAGGAGGAACACCGAUGGCGAAGGCAGGUCUCUGGGCAUUAACUGACGCUGAGGAGCGAAAGCAUGGGGAGCGAACAGGAUUAGAUACCCGGUAGUCCA